rnacentral:tRNA from 1 species
GGGAAUAUAGCUCAGUUGGUAGAGUGCCUGCCUUGCAUGCACCAAGGUUCUGGGUUCAAAUCCCCAGUACCA